UUUUCUUUACUAUACAUUUUAUACCCCCUCUCCUGUUUCAAUUUUUUAAAGAAUUUGAAAACAAGACUUUAAUUAUUGCCAGCUUACCCGGCCUAUUUGCAUAUUUUCUGAUAAAAAAUGCCUAGAACCUGUUAAAAACUGUUUUGAUAACAUAUUGAAAGCAUAUCAGAAUAUCAUAAAUGUAAUGUUUAGCAGUCAAUCAUUACAACAUUCAAGAUUAUAUAAAGUAUCCAAUCCAGCCUCUAUCUCCAGUCCACAUCUUACUGUAUGCCUAUUUGUCAAUUAAAGAACACAUGUUCUGCCUCAAAUGGUCAAUUUAGAAUUCUUGUCACAACCGUAUCAUCUGUAACCAUAUAUCUGACACAAUUGGGCUACUAUAUAUACUAAAAGUGUUCAAACAAAGCCAUAUUUGCAAUAGUUGUAUGUAUGCAGAUACCAGUCUGAGAUAUAAAUUCACUUAAAAUGUUGUAGAGAUGACUGCUAACAUCUGAUUUUUGCAUAACUUCCAAGCAUAGUUAUUGUUUUCUAUAUCAAGAACUUUAAAAUCAACAAAUCAUAGCAUUUACAAGUUAAAUUAUUUGUUUUAUGACCCCGGCUGAGGGGGUAGGCAAUUUUCUAUGUUUUUUGCCCCUGGGGCCUCAAAUUUCCUAAAUCAUUCUUCUGUUUCUAGCAAUUUGGAAUAUUUAGUACAUAUUCAGGAUAGAACACACUAUUGUAAGUUGUCUUGAGAUAUUUUUGUUUUUCUAGCUUGUAUUUAUUAUGCCGUGGUGACAAAAAAAGCAGAUUUAGGUGUUGCGGCUUACUUUUGGGUUAUCGAAAGGACACAAAUACCCCAUAAAUAAUAUUCAGGAAGGAUCUAUGAGUUUCAAUGACUGCGAAGAGUUGAGUUAAUUUCUUUAAAAUCUGUGAAAUAAAGCAAAUUUGGUUAAAUUCUGAAUGUUCCCCUUUUUCACCCUAUAUACAGACAUUUAUUCAAAUAGAAAACUCUCUAAAAUCAGUUUUUCUCACAUUAAUACUCAUUUAUCAGAAUUAAAGUCUUAAAGAAAUCACUGUGUAUACUCUAAGUUUUUCUUUACUAUACAUUUUAUACCCCCUCCC
rnacentral:lncRNA from 1 species